CCCUUGGAGCGAGAGAGGAGGCUCCAUUGGUACUUCAGAUGAGAUUUUUCAGGGAGCUGGGACUCCUGGGCUGCUCUCUUGGGGAUCCAUGUUUGCACCUCCCUUCUGGCUCAGGAAGCCACUUAGUCUCUGAGAAAGAUGCCCUUCUCCGUAGGAUUAUGCAUUACUGUUGAAUUGAUGUGGUGUUUUCCAGUUUAACAUAUCAGAGAUCACAUGAUGUUGACUUGUCUCUGGUAAAGAAAAAAAUUUCAAGACACUGUUGUUACAGAUGGUAAGAAAGACUUUAUUCAAGAAGGAGUACUGCAAUGGAGUUCAAGUGUUAUCCACUGAUUUCCCUACUAUACUACUAAGUUGUUACUAUUUGCUUUGUAAUUAAUAAAUACCUUAUUGGAACAUACUUUG